rnacentral:misc_RNA from 1 species
AAAGUCGUAACAAGGUUUCCGUAGGUGAACCUGCGGAAGGAUCAUUAAAAGUGCCCUGGCUCAGCCAGCGGACUACACCACUGUCCUGCCUCUUAGGGGGUAUGGUUAUUGUGUCUACCCAUUGUGAAACUUCUACCUUUGCUUCGGCAGCACUCUCAGCGAAAGCUGGAGGGGUAAGGCUGUCAGAAGCCCAUAUCAAACUAGUUGAUGAAAUGUCAUGCUGUCUGAUAACCACUAUUUGAGAAAUCAAAUUAUCUUAAAACUUUCAGCAACGGAUCUCUUGGUUCUC